rnacentral:rRNA from 1 species
CCCUUAGAUGUUCUGGGCCGCACGCGCGCUACACUGAUGCAUUCAACGAGUUUCUUCCUGAUCCGAGAGGAAUGGGUAACCUUUUGAAAGUGCAUCGUGAUAGGGAUAGACUAUUGCAAUUAUUGGUCUUCAACGAGGAAUUCCUAGUAGACGUAGUUCAUCAGACUGCAUCGAUUACGUCCCUGCCCUUUGUACACACCGCCCGUCGCUCCUACCGAUUGAAUGCUCAGGUGAGCCAUUCGGACUUUCAUCAUGCUGGUUUCCAGUUUUGAUGAAGGAAAGUCUUGCGAACCUUAUCAUUUAGAGGAAGGAGAAGUCGUAACA